CUGGGGAAGGGAACAGGCCGCGGUGUGGUCCCUCUGUGGGAGGUGCUGAGCCCGUGUGGGGGUGCAGGGCUGGAGGGGGGUGCAGUGUGUCUCAUGGGGGCUCAGACCGGCGCUGUUCUAUCUGUGAUGCUCCGCAGGACUUCCUCAGCCCCGAGUGGAUCCAUCCCUGAGGUGGCUGGACCAGAAGAUCCAUUCUGCAGGAUGGUGAGAGUGCUGCUCUUGCAGUCUGGUUACAGCUGUAUGGUGUUUUUAGGAACCUGCUGUGACCCUUGUAAAUAGCAACAGGGAAUUUCGUGCCAAGCCAGAGGAGGGAAGUCUUUCAGCCCGUGGCAGGGUUGUGAUACCACUGCCAUGUGUGAGAGUCAGCCAUGGCAUGGUAGCAUCC
rnacentral:lncRNA from 14 species